UCUCGCGAGAAUGUUGUUGAGACAGAUCCGCAUCUCAAAAUUUAGAUAAAGUUGAUUUUCUCCUUAUAUGUCCAUCUGAAAAUAGCUAUGUGUAACUUUCAAAGGAAGGCAAUUCAGAAAAUUCACGCCUUCUAUCAGACAACGGCGGACAUGACGCGUUGUUUGCCAUCAAUGUCAGAAGAAGAAGAAGCGGGAAAACAGUAGGUGGCGUAAUAUUUUAACGUUGUGUGCGCCAACCUCGAACUAAAACGAGGAAGAAGAAGAAAGCGAAGAAGAAAGAGAAGAAGAAGCGGGAAAGUUUUUGGAAACGACGACCGCAACGCUUGCGACAGAAGACUUGGAGAGUUCAAUCCAUCUAUUUUCUACUGCUUUUCCCUUCCGUGUCGAGGGGGUGCUGGAGCCUAUCCCAGCUGCGCUCGGGCGAAGGCGGGGUACACCCUGGACAAGUCCACACAGAUCGACAGAUAACAUUCACACACUCGCAUCAAUUUAGUGUUGCCAAUCAACCUAUCCCCAGUUUGUGAUCCAAAAUUUGUUUUUUCAUUAACAGGAUGGACAAAAAGAAAAUUACAACAAAAAAGAGGUUAAGAGUUCCCACAAAGAAAAUGAAGGACCUGCAUAAAUCUCCUCCCCCAAGUGAGCAAUCUGGGUGUUUGGCAUUCGUCAGAUGGGAGGACGGUUAUACCGGCAAAAUCUUUAGACAUUUUGUCAAGAUAUGAAGCUCCUGUGCAGAUCUUAGAUCUUAGAACAGGAGAUUCUGUUUUAGCAAAGUGGUCAGAUGGUAAAUUUUAUAGGGCAACUGUUGAAUAUAUUUCAGGAAAAGAUCAGACUCAGUCACCAAAAGGCUGCCAAACUCCGCAGGAGUCAUUUUUAAAUAUGUUGGAAGCCAAUGAGCCAUCACACUCAACAUCAGGGUCUAACACCAUUACAGUAGAUCGGAACCCACUGUCUGACAUGAUAAUAUCACAGCGCUGAAUCUAUCAAGUGACGGGGCACUUGUAACAGGCAGCAACACUGUUGGACCACCACCACCCUAUGGGUAAGCUUGACAUUUAUUACCUCAUGCCUAUGGGGCUACAAGUUCAAAACUCUUUAUAAAAUCAAAUUUGGUAAAUUUCCAAACCAAAAAAACAGCAUUAACUGACAUAUUAUUUUAUCUGCCAUCAAAUAAUUGUUUCAGUAAAUAGUAUGUGAAUGACAAAUACAAAUAUUUAAUGUAUUUCAUUGCCCAAAACCCAACAUCUGUAUCCACUUUGAUUUCAGGAUUAAAAGUUCUGAACUUGUUGACCCUGAAAACAAUUAUUUGCCAUCAUUUUAUUACUUUUUAACCAUGGUCAAAAUGUUCAUAGAGUGUAAAUAUCCACUCUACAAUCUCAUGUGUCAAAACUAGGGAGUAACAAAAUGAACAUUUCAUGUCAUGGUUACAAUGGUUAUCACAGUAUUGAUGAAUGUGCUCAAGAAGUACUUGAACACACACUGAAAUCUUAUAAACAAGUUUUGUUGAGGAAAAAAAAAUGUUACACAAUAUAUACUUUCUUAAUAGAAGAAAUCUAAGUUUUUAAACAUUCAGUUUCACGUCAAAAUAUAAAUUCCGCAUUUUUUAAAAUUAAAUAUAAAUAAAAAUAUAUAGAAAUAUAAAUACUAGUGUAAGGAUGGGAGUUGAAGGAUGAGUGUCAAAAAACAGAGCUAACUUUGCUUUCUUAUCAGCAAUAGAGCAUUAAUGAAACACUCUUGGGUUCUCAGAGCAACACACAACACCGGAAAUGUGUCCCGUGAAACCUGUCCGACCGGAGCUUUCAACAAUAACAAAAGUUCCAUGGAUGAAUUAAGUAAACAAUAUCAAAAAAUAGGAUCCUAACAAAAUUUGUGGAACGCUCGCCUCGGCCGUAGGUACUUGCUGUUGCUCCGCACUGAUUUUCAGGACAGGGAAACCAAAACAAGCUUACUAGUUAGCAUAAUUAGCAUCAUCGAGCUACCUUACUUGUUGUUGAUACUGUUUCGUGAUUGGCUGUUGGUGUGUCCCUUCCAUUGCUCAGUAAAUACUGUUAACUGAUUGUCUGUUAUAGUAUGUCCCUGCCAUUGCUCAGUGACACUUCCUGUUUUCUGUUUGCUGGGUUCCCUAAUGCAGCGAAUCUUGCUUGCUCGAAUAUUUUAUCGAACACAUUUAAUAUUGAUAUGAUUAUGUGUCUAUCGCGAUGUAUAUUUAUUGUUUUAUUGCCCCAGUGCUAUGUAGUAUUGAUUCUUUAAAACAAUAAUUGGGGCUUGCAUGGGAGCACUACGUGCGGAUAGAAAUUUUCCUCUUUUUUGUGAAUUUUCCUCUUCUUUUGUCAAAGGUUGCUCACAUGCCUGUACUUCCUCUGUGAAAUAAAGGAUGUAGGGCGGAAAUCUCAAUAAGCAAUAGUUUAAAAAAACAUAUUUAAACCAAAUAUAAGUACUGGUUUGACAGUUUAUACUUAAUUGUACAUUUCAUAAAUAAUCCUGAGAUGUAUAAAGUAAUAACUUUUUGGUGAUAGUCAAUAUGUAUAACUUAAUAUUAAAAAAUCUGUCAUAAUCUCUUAGUUGGUAUUGUUGACUAAGUGAGUUGUCUAUUUCCUUGCAGUCAAGAUGAUUUCAGUAUUGGUCCAGUUCCUUUGUGUUUGAUGUGAAAUGUUUCUGUUUAGGAGUACCGUACAGAACGAUUAUAGAUAUGGUAAAUUUUGGUCAUGGUACAUUUAUUUUCAUUAUUGGUACGUCCAUCAUAGAGUAAAGAGAACAAAUAAUUUAUGCACUGCUGAUUUUGUAGAUUGAGGUCUGUUACUUAUAUUAUUAUUAUUAUUAUUAUUAACAAUAAUAUCAUUAUAGGCACACUUCAAUUGUAAGUGAUAGAAUCCAAAACAAAAAUCCGUAAAAUCACAUUCUAUGAAUUUUUUUUAAAGUAAUUGAUGUGCAUCUUAUUGCAUGAAAUCCAUAUUUUAUACUUCAGAUAAAUGAGGUAAAAAAGAGGAAAAAAAUGCACAUUACCUGAAAAUCAUACAAUGUCAUUUUUUGUUUUGUUUUAUAUUUUACAGAAUCACCAGUCUAUUAAAUACUUGUUCUCCUUUGGCCGCUGGAAGUUAAAAUGCGGGUCAAUUCAGUAAUUUUUUUGUAGUUCAGUAUUUCUCAUCUCUUUUGAUAUUGCAUAUAUAUAUAUGGACAAGUUGGGUUUAUAGAAUGGUAAUCUAUGGUUCAAUGAAAUUUCAUGAUAGGUUUACCAAAGAGGGAACCAUCGGUCCAUCACCCUACAGCGGCAAUACAGCCAUACCAUCACCGUAUGGCCUCCACGUCAAUUGUCAAUUUCUCUAUGGGGGCCAUACAUCUAGCCUACCACCGUAUGGCCUCAACAUCAAAGGUCCAUCUCCCUACGAAGACCAUGCAUCCUGCCCAUCACUGCAUGACUUCAACACCGCUGGCCCAUCACCAAAUGUCUACAACACCUCUGGUCCUUCACCCGGCGUACACACCCCGCUAGCUGGCAAGCUAGCUGGGUUAAUCCACCUGACAAAAAAAACCCAGCUUUCCUGGCACCGGACAGGAGAGAUACAGGCAACCCAUCUGUCGAGGACACUAUCUCAUAUCGACCGCAGGCAGAAAAAUCAUGGACGCCAUGUGAUGGAUGUAGGAAGGAGUUCGAAAAAAUCCUGCGAGAAAAGCAACGAAUCGAAGUAGUCCUCUUGA